rnacentral:rRNA from 1 species
UACGUAGGGGGCAAGCGUUGUCCGGAUUUAUUGGGCGUAAAGAGCGUGUAGGCGGCUAGGUAGGUGGGUUGUGAAAACUGGAGGCUCAACCUUCAGACGUCGACCCAAACCCCCUGGCUAGAGUCCGGAAGAGGAGACUGGAAUUCCUGGUGUAGCGGUGGAAUGCGCAGAUAUCAGGAGGAACCCCUGAGGUGAAGACGGGUUGCUGGGCCGACACUGACGCUGAGUGCGCGAAAGCCAGGGGAGCAAACGGG